rnacentral:sRNA from 1 species
GGGGGGUGUCCUCUUAUAAUCAUCCCUGUUCUAGAACACUGCUCUAAAAUUACAUCACCUUGGUAUGGAGGGCUAGUAGCCCAUGUGGAAGUCUUUUGUGGUCUCCCUGGGGUAUCCCACUAUAUAUCUCACUUAUGAUGUAGUGGUGCUUGAAAACACUCAUCUCGUUAGCUGAACUUUAUUAUUCUAGUCUAAGGUUUUUGAUACUAUUCAUAUUAUGAUCUUUUUAGAGACAAUCAGUAGUAUUUGCAGCAAAGUACCGAAGGGUCUCUUUAAGCCUGCAACCACACAUAUUUUUUUUGUUUUUCUGGGUAAGAGGAGGUAGAUAAGGCAGAUGCUCCUUAAAGGGGAACAAGUUGAGAUAUCUAUGUCAUCUCUAUUUAAAAAGCGAGAGGACAUGGUAGCUGGUGUUUUACACUGUGCUUCAGAAUAUUCCUGGUUGGAUUUUCCUGGCUGAGCAACAGCCCAACUCUUAGGUAGAUCCUGUAUGGUGGAGGUGGAGAUGUGGCGUUGGGUCUAUAGCAGCAGAUAGGCAGAAAUACCCAGAGAGUAAGAAAACACUUGCAUAAAAAGAGGGAAAUCCAUAAGGAGAUUAUAGCUCUGAAACAAAAUAUAUAGGAGCUGAAGGUCAAUUAUGGCAGAAAUCAGCUGAAGGAAGAAACAGGAUAAGUGAGGAUAACAGCCAAGCACAAUCUGUCACUCCAGUAUGGCCAACCAAAUUCAAUACAGGGAAUGUGAUCAGCUGACGAGAGGGUCCAAGAAGGCCCCAUUGCGUUGCCAGCACACUAGACCAUUUCAGAACCUACUCUAGGGUUGGUUGCUGAGUCAUCCCAGACAAACUCUAGUGAUGUCCUCUUAACCCUGGAACACAAUGUCUGUGGUUGUGUCCUGACUUGAGUAGGUUAUUACUGUUUAGAAGACUCAUAAUUCUGUUUCUAUACUGGUUAUGGUCAUUUACUAUGUUUUUUAUUCCACCACUUGUUCCUGUUGGCCUCACUUAGCAGUUGCAGGUGGGGAGGCUGGUUUCAGCUUGGGGUGGUUAAAACUCCCAACAUAAGCCAUGCAAGUGCUGUCCAGGGUUCCUGCCUUUCUGACGGCACCACUGGUGAGUUCUUGGCCCUCUUGAUAACUAGUAGUCCAGUCAGAUGGCUAGAUUAAUGCUGCUCAGAGGCUAACUCAAGUCCUUGACAUGUUUCAUUUAUAAUUAUGUGGAUUAUUUAUUUUAAGAGCUUUUCUUUUAAAGGGCCAAAUAGCUCUACAGAUAAAUGAGCUGCUGGGGUGUGUAGAAAAUAUUGUCCAAAUGUUGCCAAAUAUUGACUUUGUAAGGGGGAUAUCAAGCUGCUGUUUAUAAAUAUGAAUGUCUUAAAAGCAUUCUUGCUUGCUCUCUCUGUUGUAGAUGGUGUCUUAGCAAGUUCUGAGUUUUUCCAAUGAACCCAAUUUUAAUAUAUGGUAUUUUUGUAUGCCAAUCUGGUGUCUUGUCCUUUGUAUAUGUGGUAAUGUUGAUUUUAUGACUACUGUUAAAACACAUUUGCUAUGAUUAAAAUUCAUAAAAGGAUWUCAAAUAGAAAGAAAAAAAAAAAAAAAAAAAAAGCG